UCGAUUUCAAUUUUGAGAUGCUGCCAAAGCAAAAAAAGUAAAUAUUAUUAAAAUUCAAUUAUAAAGAAACCAACUUCAGAACCUUAAUUUUCAACUGAAUUCCGGUACAAAAUAAUGAGAUGCAUGCCUUAUGAGUUAUGAGUUAACACUUGAUUAAGAAAAUACUCUUUGAGUGUAUUUCCCAUUUGUCACAGUUAAUCCACAAUACUAAUUUCUUUUUCUUAAUAAUAAAUCCCAUCAGUAAUGGUGCUUCGUGAAGCAAAUUAUUUAUUUUAACAGCAAUAUGAUUAUAAAAAAUGAAGAAACAACAAACUUAUUUUUUUACUAAAAAAGAAAAACAACUUAUACUACAAUAUUUGCACCUUGUUUUCAUGAUAUGCUGACAAAGGAACAUAAAAAAUCAAUCAUUGAGGUUGGACGGUUUCAAACCAUUAAUGUAGUUAUUAGUUGCUCAUGAUCAAGAACCUUUCUUAUGAUUCUCACGCCACUCUCAUCUCCAAGAAGAAAAAUGAUUGCACAAAAAGCUGAAGCUUGUUUCAAGUAACAGAAACCUCACAGUUACAAAACCUUGCAAGUUUAUCAGAUUUUUAACAUAAGAGUUACAAAACCCUCACUGAUAUGAUUGUGUUAAGCAGAUACAAAACCCUCAAUGAUGGAAGGAAGGAUGAGAAAGUAAAUGGUACUUAGUUAACUCUGCUAGGUUGAGAAGGAAGAAUAAUUUUAAUGUGACUUAAAAUAGGAAGAACAACGAUUAAGAAAUAUCUGAAGCAUAGAUUUCGUUGAGGACCAAUCAUAGAUAUAUAAAUCUUGGUCUCUUUCUCUAAAAUAAAAGCUUCAAUGUCAUGUUUGAGGUGUGUGAAUGGGGGAAGAAGACUGUGAUAGCAGGGAAAGGAGAUAGGGAAGGGCUAAGUUAGCGGGUGUCUACUGCGUAAAUAGCCCCACAUCGGGUAGGUCUGCGUGAAACUAAAC
rnacentral:lncRNA from 1 species